UACGAAGGGGGCUAGCGUUGCUCGGAAUCACUGGGCGUAAAGCGCACGUAGGCGGGUUCUUAAGUCAGGGGUGAAAUCCUGGAGCUCAACUCCAGAACUGCCUUUGAUACUGGGAAUCUCGAGUCCGGGAGAGGUGAGUGGAACUGCGAGUGUAGAGGUGAAAUUCGUAGAUAUUCGCAAGAACACCAGUGGCGAAGGCGGCUCACUGGCCCGGUACUGACGCUGAGGUGCGAAAGCGUGGGGAGCGAUCCGG
rnacentral:rRNA from 1 species